UACGUAGGGGGCGAGCGUUGUCCGGAUUUACUGGGCGUAAAGGGCGCGUAGGCGGCCAGCGCAAGUCGAUUGUGAAAUCUCCGGGCUUAACUCGGAAAGGUCAGCUGAUACUGCGGGGCUAGAGUGCAGAAGGGGCAACUGGAAUUCUCGGUGUAGCGGUGAAAUGCGUAGAUAUCGAGAGGAACACCUGCGGCGAAGGCGGGUUGCUGGGCUGACACUGACGCUGAGGCGCGAAAGCUAGGGGAGCGAACGGG
rnacentral:rRNA from 1 species